ACCGGCAUCGGACCUUUUGUCAGUCGUGUGCAAGGAAAAUGGUCGGCUGAUCUUAGCCUUGAUGCUAAACUGGGUGGCUGAUCAUCUUUAUGAUCCGAGACGGACCUUUGGGAGCCUGUAAGGUGUCAUAAAAGCACGUGAGAAAUUGCUUGAAUCUCGAUUAACGACGGCCUCACCGACAAAGAGCACCAAAAAGUCAACAAGACGCAUUUCAACUACCCUAAUAGGAACUGUGACGACGACCCGGCAGACUACAGAUAUUGGGCAAUCAGUUGGUAGCAUUUCCAAAGGAAAGAAAACAGAGAAAGCAACAGCGAAGUCUGGGAAGCAAACCAUUCAUUCACAUGAUAAAUCAUUUAAUCGAGAAAUGGUUGAUGUGUGCUAUUAGAAUUAUUAAUUCAUUUAGCAACAGACAUAAAGGUCUACAGUUUUUAUCAAACUUUAUCGAGGAGAUAUUAUGUCCUCAUAGUGAUAUUUUAAAAAAAUAUCUUCUGACGUCUAUUUGGGCCAUUUAUGACUCUGACCACAUUCCAGCACAGGAACUUCAGACAGCUUUCCAAAGAUUGUAUAGGCUGGAAAGCUUGAUCUUAAAAGAUUGUACAAGUCUGGGUGCCGGUUCAGGUACAAAAUCUAUAUGACUAUAAGGCAUUAUAAAAUGAAACCUCAUAACACGCUUUUAAAUACCAUCAGAAAGAUUAAAAAGAAAUACAAACUUUUGGCUGAUAAGCGAAAAAGGCGACUGCAGUGUUGCCGUAUACCCAGAAUUCAUCGGGCGAAAGAUCAAACAGACGUGUCUCAGAUGCUGCAAAGUAAUACUGAGAUAAUUACAGAUUCCUCUCUGCGGUUUGUAGUAACCAUUGUGAAAUAAACGCAGGGUGGAACAAGACUUAGAAUCAACACAUUGCUCUUCAGUAAAAUUAUUAACACUAAACGACAUCUAUUAGUGGAUUUCUCACUAAUUUGUGUAAUUUAUGUUUUGCAGGCGCUGUCAUCCGCUUACUCAGUCAGAAAGACAGACCGGAUAGUGACAUUCUGCAGAAAGCUAGACAAAUGCAUAUGCAAUUGGGGUUUUCGGAAGAUAAGAAAAUAUCAUUAUCAGAUCAGAUCAGAUCAUUAUCAGAUGUAGAAAAUUUUGAGCGUCUAUUAAAUGUUUCUAUAAAGGUGCUAUACAUGCAUGAGAGUGCAUGGAAAUACUUCACAACGGGUCCUACGCCGACCGAUAAUAAAGUGAUUUUUCUUCUGUUACACAGCGAUCACUUUUUUGGGAUUUUAGAUGUGAAGAAAUUUAUCGGGGCUAAUUAUUUUUGUGAAAUUUGUCAUGCCGCAUAUUCUCACAAAGAUCGCCAUGUUUGUGCCAAUACUUGCAGGGCCUGCCUCGAUGCUUCUUGCAUUGAAGUAACAGGCUGCUUAAUGAGAUGUCCGAUAUGCAAAUCAUCUGUCAAUCAAACGAGUGCCUCGGUAAACACCAAAAUAAAUAAACAUGCCAGUCGAGAGAAUAUUGCGUUAGUUGUCAGUGCUACACGACCCUUAUCCACAUUUGUAAACCGAGGUUAUGUCCAAAUUGUAAAGAAGCUAUCACCAGCUGCGACAGUCACUUAUGUUAUAUGCAACCGUUAUUAAAGACUCCGCUAUCAAAAAAAUAUAUAUUUUAUGAUUUCGAAUGCAAGCAAGAAAACGGAAUCCAGAACCGAAUUACAUAUACGCUUUACACAUGGAUGGUAACAGAAGCUGGGAGUUUGCCGGAAACGAUUGUGUUGAAAGAUUAAUCUCUACGUUUAUAGAUAAAAAGUUUAAGAAUUACACUUUUAUUGCACACAACGCAAAAUCCUAUGACAGUUAUUUUGUAAUUAGUCAAUUAAUAAAAGAAAAAAUGAAAAUGGAUUUGUUAACGAUCGGUGGAAAAAUCAUGUCGAUAUCAGUGAAAGUUUUAAACAUCAGAUUCAUAGACUCUUUGAACUUUCUAGCAUCAAAAUUGUGUAAAUUACAGCAGGCUUUGAGUUUUAAAGGGUCGAAAGGUUAUUUUCCUCAUUUUUUUAACACUGCAGAAAACCAAAAUUAUGUCGGGCCUAGACCGGCUGUAGAAUUUUAUGGUGUAGAAAGUAUGAUGCCAGACGAGAAGAAAGAUUUUCUUUUAUGGUAUUCUAAACACAAGAAUGACGUAUUUGAUUUUCAAAAGGAAUUAAAAAUGUACUGCCGUUUAGAUGUUGAAAUUCUAAGGUCGGCGUGUAUCUUGUUCGGGCACGAGGUUAUGGAGAUCACCAAAACGACACGUAUUGAUUUAAACGAGCAGUUUCAGGCCAAAUACAACAUAUUAUCUAUUGAUCCUUUUCAAUAUGUUACUCUAGCGAGCGUCUGUAUGGCAAUGUUUAGACUUCAAUGUUUGCGUGAUUGCCAUUACAAGACAGUUAUCACAGAAAACAAAAGAGAUACUCUAAAUUCGUAUUGGAAAAUAUUAUCUAGACGGGUAUGCAGAAAAUAAUGGUAUAAAGAUGGCUUUUGAAUUGAACGGAUGCUUUUACAUGGUUGUUAUAUCUGUUAAAGGUAAAAAAUCAGGGAAUAGUGUUACAAACACGACAUUCGGUUGGCUUUAUUCAAAAACUAUGGAAAAAGUUAACUACUUAAAAAUGCAGGGGUUUCAGGUGCAUCAAAUCUGGGAACAUAAUUGGCGGCGUCUGGUUCGUGAAAACAUCCGUGUGCAGAAUUUCCUGAAAACCGCGCGACUGCCUCAGAUUUUGAAUCCCAGGGAAUCUCUUUGGCGAUCGAACAAAUGCAGCACGUUUAUACUACUAAGGUGGGCGCUGGUGAAAUAAUCCAUUACUAUGAUUUUACGAGUUUAUAUCCUUAUGUGAAUAAAACCAAAAGAUAUCCAAUCGGUCAUCCAAAAAUUAUUUAUAAGGAUUUUGAACCAUUAGAAACGUAUUUCGGAUUAGCCUCGGUGAGGGUGUACCCACCCAGAAAUCUUCUAUUCCCUGUUUUGCAGAAUAAACAGCAGACACCCUGCACACACACUCACGAGGAGAGAGCUCUUACCGGCUGAUGGACAACACCGGAAUUGCAUGCAGCCUUUCAGCUGGGAUACAAAACUGAAAGCAUGUACAGUAUGAGAUAUGCUCUACUGAACUUUUAUCAGAGUAUAUUAAUGCCCAUUUAAAAGCUAAGCAGGAAUCUUCGGGUUAUCCUGAGAGCUGUCUAAACACAGAACAGCGUACACAGUAUGUAUCCAUGUUUUAUGAAAAGGAAGGUGUACAAUUCAGCGAGCACCUUAUUAAAAAAAAUCCGGCCAGAAGACAAAUUGCAAAACUUUUUUUAAAUUCCUUAUGGGGUCAGUUUGCACAAAGACCUAAUUUGCCACAUACAUCUUUAGUUACAGAUCCAGAACAACUGUUUGAAUUAUUGUUUGCCCCAAAUUAUGAGGUAUCUACUUGUGAUUUUAUUGAUGAUGAAUGUGUGUACCGCUCUCAGAACCGGCACGAUUAUAAUACACGCUGCAUUAUUUGAGAGGCAGCAAAAAGAAAAGAAAACAAAUAAUCCGGGGCGCGAGUGAUCAACACUACUUUCCUACUUCACCGCUUCAAUUAUAGAGACACACCAGAGAAAGCAGGAUCAAGCACAACUGAUUAUUGGCAGACAAUAUAUAGGAUCACUGUAACAACAAAACACCUAAUAAUAUCGCGCUGCAGCGCUUUCCUUCACCACACAAAUCAUAACACCAACACUUGAAAACAUACAUUACUAAUAAAGACUUGAACAAAUGGAAACACAACAAAAAACCAAUGGAUUUAUAGUCUUUAAAAUCGUAUCUGUACGAGCGUUGAUCUCAGUCUGUAGUGGUGAAUGAGACGCCGACCAUAUCUCUUGUUCUGGGAAACGUUCUGAUUAACAGUUCCUUGUGCUGGCCCGUCAAGUCCUCUCCCGUAUUUCUUCCUCCCGAAAGAAAAAAUAAUUUGCUUGGAAAUGAACCCGGGUUCACCUGACGAUAUCCAAGAGGUGUUAAUCCUUUCCCUCGUGCCUUUUUCUGUUAUGGCCUCCUUCUCUCUCCUAGCUCCUCCUCUUCCCUUUUUUCCCGCCACCUAUUUACAUUCGGAUAGCUCCUCCCCGUACAGUCUGUUGGCCCUCCAAGCCAGGUGCUCCCCUCCCUCUGUAUAAAGGGCCGGCCCUAAACAUAAAGGCAUAUCAUAAAACCAGGUAUGGGAAAAGGUACAAACUUACAGGUACAUAUCCAUAUUUCAUGUGCCUGUGUGACUUGGACAUACGAUAAAGAUCGUUACAGCACACCGGCCACUGUAAACAUUUUUAUUGCUAGUUUUACUACAGCUUAUGCAAGAUUAGAGUUGUAUAAUCUUUUAAACAAACUGAACGAAAGAAUACUAUACUAUGACACGGAUUCAGUUCUUUAUAUUUCCAGAGCAAACGAAUGGGACCCUGAAAUUGGAUGCUAUAUCGGGGACUUGACGAACGAGGUACCAGCGAAUGAAUACCUCACUGAAUUUAUAAGAACUGGUCCAAAAAGUUCUGGCUAUAAACUAUCCAACGGUGAAACCUGUCUAAAAGUUAAAGGUAUAACAUUAAAUGUUAAGAACAUUAAGAUAAGGUGAAUUUUCAAAGCUUAAAAGAACUGCUAUUUGACUACGCAGAAAAUAAAAAACUGUCUUCAGAACAUAAAAAUAUCAAAGUUGAAGAUAUUGGUGUUGUCAGGGUAAAACGCAGCUGGCAUAGAAACCAGAAAAAUUAAAAAAAAACACAAAAAGUUGUAUAUGACAAGCGCGUAUUAACUAUAAAUUUCACGUCGUUACCUUUUGGCUAUUGAUUCUGAGAUAAAUACAUAAUCAGUAAUGGACGUUCGUUUACAACACCCAUUUUCUUGUAUCUUAAGGGGGCCGAGUAACUGUGGAAAAUCUUAUUUUGUGAAAACAUUACUAGAAUCGGGGACUAAAACGAUGUCUCACCAACCACAGAAUAUCCUGUAUUGUUAUUCCGUUUGUCAACCUCUCUAUACAGAAUUGAUGAAAAAAUUCAGACAUAUAAAUUUAUAGAAGGUCUCCCUGACUCCCUAAAUGAUGAUGUGUUGUUGCCCCGUAAUAAAAUAAACUUAGUUGUUGUGGAUGAUCUCAUGCAAUCGGCCUGUAAAAGUAAUGAGUUGGAAUUGGGAUUCACAAAGUAUGUUCAUCAUAGAAAUCUGAGCGUAAUCUAUAUUGUUCAGAAUCUUUUUUGCCAGGGAAAACAGAACCGAACAAUUACUUUAAAUGCUAAAUACAUUGUUUUGUUUAAGAAUCCGAGAGACAGACAACAGAUCUCAAUAUUGGCCAGUCAGAUGUACCCCACAAGGUGGCGCUACUUUCUCGAGGCUUAUGAGGAUGCCACUGAGUCAGCCUUUGUCUUUCUACUGGUCGAUUUAAAUACUAACACUAGAGAUGACUUUCGUCUCAGAACAUCCACAUACCCAUCGCAGCGCCCAGUAGCUUAACGUGUUUAAAAAGCCCAAGGGUAAAAAAAUGUGAUUUUAGCAUCCCCGGUGUCAUUUGGUAAAAGACGUCAUCCUGAUCAACAUGUCGUCCAGGAUUAAACGAAAUUUACAGCUCAUGCGAUUGCUUAUAAAGGCAAAACCAAAACAGAGAAAGUCCAUUUGUGUGCAGCUUCUGACGAUUUAAUUCUGGCUAUUUGUGAAAUUGCACUCAAUGCAAUUAAGGGUAGCUUACCUUUAAAUUCCAGACGGAUUGGCAUUCUUAAAAGAAACGCAUGGUUAUGAAAAAUCUGAGCAAUAAAAAAGUUACUAUUAAACGAAAGAAACGUAUUAUAAAUCAGUCUGGUGGAUUUAUCGGUGAACUACUCGGCAUAGCAAUCCCUUUACUCACCGGUCUAAUUUCGAAUCGGUAAAUGGAGCAGACUGAGAAAAUGUAUCUUGUACAAGAACAGCAACUGGGGCAAGUCCAAACACCUGUCGGUGGAGAAA